rnacentral:lncRNA from 1 species
UGCUGCGCGGAGCCCGGAGUCGGGCUUGGUGAUCCUGAACGCACGGCCUGCCCCUGCACCGAGCUGCUCGGAUUCACCCCGAACGCGCUGCUGGGGACGCGAAUCUCGAUCAACAGAAAGAAAACAGAAAGAAGCGGCCUUUCCAGGAAAUCCCCCCCGCUCCCGCGGAAGCUCACCGCACACGGCCGAGCGGGCCCCGCUGACACCGCUCCCCAAGGCGGGGGAUGGGACGGGACACCCUACGCGCUGCCCCUGCGGCCGCCCCAGUGCCCGUGCUGCUGGGGACCUCCCCUCCCUCCAACGGCGCCGCUCCGACGCCCAGGCCAGAGCCAGCCGCGGCCGUACCUCGCAGCGGGAGUCAUCCUCACGGUCUACGAGAACGGCGCCCAGCAGCUCCCUGCCGGGCCCAGCCAGAGCCCCACGGACGAAACGGUAGACGUUGCGCCCUGGAACAGGGAGCGCAGCCGAGCCUACCCCGCAGGAGCGACGCCUCGGGGGCGGGACGCACAGCGUGCUGCUGCCGGGCUACUCGCUGCUGCUGGCCGGAGCCCCGCCCCCCAACCCGGUAGGCUCUUGGGUUCGGCCUUGAAGUACGUUCCCGCAGUGCUUUCCGGUUCGGCUCGUUUCGUUUUCUUCCUACAAACAGCUCAGCCGACUCCCCCAACCCGCACGGAUUUCUUUAAGGCUGUUUUUUACAUGUGAUGGGAAGGGAUGCCAUCCAGAUGGACCUCGACAGACUCGAAAGAGAACCUGAAACUUUUCUUUUGAAAGUGCUACCUGAAACAACCUUGAUCGUUGUCUCAAGAGGAUACGCAGGUGCCAGAUUGAAUCUUUAGUUAAAUCUCACCAUUUAUUACAUGGAGAAUCACAAGUGGGAACAUGAUGUCAUUCCUUGGAAAGGGGGAUGCUGAAGAGGAAUGGUGACUCCCUGCUCUCUAGUCAAUACCUUUCACCUCAGUGUCUGUUUGUUACACUUUGUCUCUAAGAAAAGGAAGAACUAAAGAUUGGAAGCACUUGCUCAGCUUUAUAGGAAGUUGAAUGUGUUUUCUAAAAUGUGGCUUGUGUUUGAAAACAGAGAAUUUUCAUUUGUGGCUGGCUAAUCAGUAUGGGAAGCUCAACAAAAGUGUGGUUAAAUGUCUGUGUAACUUUAUGAGACAGAUAAGAAAGCAGUGCUAGGCAGUUAUUUCACAUCACCCCAUGCUUUGGCUAUAGGCUUCUGCUGUGUUAAAUGAGAUGAGAGGAGACCCUUUGAAGAGGAAUUGUGGUAGAAGCCAGCACAGAAAGGAAGCAGUAGGAAGGAAAACUGAGGCAUUCAGUAGUUAUAAAUAAAAUAAAACAAAAAAUAGGUCA